rnacentral:tRNA from 1 species
ACCUGGGUGGCUCAGUCGGUUGAGCGUCCGACUUCAGCUCAGGUCAUGAUCUUGGGGUUCGUGGGUUCGAGCCCCAUGUCAGGUU